rnacentral:lncRNA from 1 species
AAUAUGAAUUUAGUAUAAUCUCAAAUUUUCAUAUGCUAUAUAAUCCACGGGUUAGAAACUAUAAUAUGAGCUUGUAUCCUACCAAAUAUUGUCACAUAAACUAAGAUGAAAGAUACAUUGUCCUGAUAUUCGUUUCAUCAUCAUCAAUCAUCGUCUUUUUAUAUUCUUCUUUGACGUUACAAGAAGAAAUUUCCAGAAAUAACUCUCACUUUAGAAGCUCUCAUUCAAGAUAUAUCCCAACAAAAUUAGCAGAAUAGGAAAAGUGGACCUUGUUCAGCUAGACCGAUCACUAUGCAAAAUGCAAGCCGAUUCUGGACUCACAAUCCAUUCAUCAAAAAUCACAUUGAAGUGACAAACAAAAAACCCUAGCUGCUAAUUUAUCUAGAAGAAGAGGAAGGAUGAUCAUAAGUUGAAUCCGACAAAGUAGCCCGAAAAUCAUUUCCACUACUCUGAGUAGGCUGAGAACCCUGAAAAAACAUUCUCGGAAGAAAAGGCAAUUGAGAAGAAGAAGAAGAAGAAGACAACGACGAAGAAGAAGAAGAUGACGAGUUCUGGAAUUGGUUUAACAAACUUGAAGGUGGUCGUAACCUUUGAAAAUCAUCAUUCAAGAAAAUUUGAGGGCUUAUGUUAGUAUUAUUAUAGUAAUUAGGUUGAGUGUGAAUUAUAGGAUAAUCAUUAGAAAAAUAUGAAACACGUGUAUUUUCCACGAAAUCCGUUGGAAAUGUGCUCGUUGGUAAUCCCAGAUUACCAACAAUAUUCUGAUGCGGGUAUAAUUUCAAUGGUGAUUGUUCGUGAGUUGAAGAAGUAGGCAAGAGUUUUAUAUUUUCUGGGAAGUUGAGUUUGGCUUUGCUGCCUCUAAAUUUAAGAGCAGCUUCAUCAUAAGCUCUAGCAGCAUCUUCAGCAGUGUCAAAAGUGCCAAGCCAAACCCUAGCAGCUUUAUAUGGAUCUCUGAUUUCUGCUGCCCAUUUUCCCCAUGGCCUUUGUCUAACUCCUCUAUAUCUUCUUCUUGGUUGAUGAUUAAUAUUUCCUUCUUCAUAUGUGGGAGUAAGGUAUACGAAUGUUGAUUCUGUUGUUGGUGUGUUGCUGGUAAUAGUCUUUAUUUCUGCUGUCCAUUUUCCCCAUGGCCUUUGUCUAACUCCUCUAUAUCUUCUUCUUGGUUGAUGAUUAAUAUUUCCUUCUUCAUAUGUGGGAGUAAUGUAUAUGAAUGUUGAUUCUAUUGUUGGUGUGUUUCUGGCAAUAGUCCUAAUAUUUGAACUUUCACCACCUAUUAACAUAAUGCAUUCCAUGAAAAAAAUAUUAGGAGAAAGGAAGUUACAACAAUAACAAUAAAAAAUUCAGUGUAAUCCCACAAGUAGGUUUGAGAAGGCUAUUACGUAGCCUUACCCCCAAUAAAGAUAGAGCGACUGUUUUUGAUAGAUUCUAACUCAAUCAAGGCACAAUCGUAACCGUGUUUAAAAGAAGUGCAGUAGUGAAAAGAGCGACUAAAUCAAGGCACAUCAUAAAAUUGAAAGAUUAAGCGUACAAUCUCUCACAAUUCAUGCAAACGUAACGAAUUAAAUUAAAACACAAUAAA